rnacentral:rRNA from 1 species
UGAAGCGGCAAAAGCUCAAAUUUGAAAUCCCCCCGGGGAGUUGUAAUUUGAAGAUUGCGUCUUGGAGGCGACCGUGUCUAUGUUCCUUGGAACAGGACGUCACAGAGGGUGAGAAUCCCGUGCGGCACGGCCCCCGGCUCCUUAUAAGGCGCUCUCGACGAGUCGAGUUGUUUGGGAAUGCAGCUCAAAGUGGGUGGUAAAUUCCAUCUAAAGCUAAAUACAGGCGAGAGACCGAUAGCGAACAAGUACAGUGAUGGAAAGAUGAAAAGCACUUUGAAAAGAGAGUGAAACAGCACGUGAAAUUGUUGAAAGGGAAGGGCAUGCCGUCAGAUUGUCAGUGUGGGUAAGAAGCGGGGUACAAAGACUGUGGAACGUGGCCCUCGGGUGUUAUAGCCGCAGUUCAUGCCCCGUCUCUUUCCGAGGCCUGCUUUGAGGACACCGACGUAAUGACGGUACGCCGCCCGUCUUGAACCACGGACCCA